ensembl:snRNA U6 U6 spliceosomal RNA
AGACUAACUGACUCAUUGACUAAAAAUAGGAAUGAUACAAAGAAGACAAGUAUGUCCCUUUGUGCAAGGAUGAUGCGAAAAUUCAUGAAGUUUAAAUUUUUUUU